rnacentral:rRNA from 1 species
AUUGAACGCUGGCGGCAGGCCUAACACAUGCAAGUCGAGCGGAUGACGGGAGCUUGCUCCUUGAUUCAGCGGCGGACGGGUGAGUAAUGCCUAGGAAUCUGCCUGGUAGUGGGGGACAACGUUUCGAAAGGAACGCUAAUACCGCAUACGUCCUACGGGAGAAAGCAGGGGACCUUCGGGCCUUGCGCUAUCAGAUGAGCCUAGGUCGGAUUAGCUAGUUGGUGGGGUAAUGGCUCACCAAGGCGACGAUCCGUAACUGGUCUGAGAGGAUGAUCAGUCACACUGGAACUGAGACACGGUCCAGACUCCUACGGGAGGCAGCAGUGGGGAAUAUUGGACAAUGGGCGAAAGCCUGAUCCAGCCAUGCCGCGUGUGUGAAGAAGGUCUUCGGAUUGUAAAGCACUUUAAGUUGGGAGGAAGGGCAGUAAGCUAAUACCUUGCUGUUUUGACGUUACCGACAGAAUAAGCACCGGCUAACUCUGUGCCAGCCGCCGCGGUAAAAC